rnacentral:pre_miRNA from 1 species
UGCAUCUAGUCAUGCAUCUAGUCAUGCAUCUAGUCAUAUUGACUAGAUGUAUGACUAGAUGUAUGACUAGAUGUAUGACUAGAUG